AAUUUCUACUGUUGUAGAUAGAUUAAAAGGUAAUUCUAUC
rnacentral:misc_RNA from 1 species